rnacentral:tRNA from 1 species
GCAGGUGUCGUAUAAUGGUAGUAUGUAACCUUCCCAAGGUUAAGGCGUGGGUUCGAUUCCCAUCACCUGCU